GUUGAGUUUGAUCCUUUAACACUAUUAUGGUAUCAUAGCCUUGACUUACAUCAUUCAUGGUUGAUUCUGAAAAUUCUUCCGCCGCUAACAUAAACUCUAAUACCCACCGUCCAUUGCCACGUUAAAUAUUUUUUAUUUUAAAAGCUUAAACGAAUAAGAAAUAAUAAAUUUAAUAACAUCAACAAUUCUCAUGGAACGAGCACAUUACUCCAUUGGACAACAAUUUCUAAGUAGCAAAUACAAUUGCAAAGACUUUAUUAUUCAAGAGAUCUUGGAUUAAAUUACAAUGAUCCAGAACAUAAUAAUUUAUUUCACCUACUAAUUCAUACUCUGCAAGUAAUUCAAAUUUCCUCCUAAACAAACAAUUAUUUCAACCAAGGUGUCUUUAGAAACAUUUUAUGCUCUGUUUUUGGGUCGUCCGGACAGUAAUGUAUGGAAAGCUAGCUUGAUGACUGGUAUGCGCCAUUGACGAGUUAAUUAUUAUCCCCGGGGCUUGGACCUGAAAGAUCCCUUCUGGGUAAGAUUCGAUCAGAAUUCUUAGUUCCCCAAAGGCCAGGAACUUGGGUAAUAUAGUAACCCGUCACUCCAUGGCUUCCAGUGGGCUUCAUUAUGGCAUGGUGGUGACGAGUUUGAGCAUGCAAACAGCGGGCUUGUAUGGUAGAAGAUAGCAAAAAGAAGCUCACGAAAAUAACAAGGACAAGGAAAUGGCGAGCUUGGAGUUCUCUAGCCAUUGAGUAAUAUUGUAGAAGAUGCAGAGCCUCAACAAGGUUUUGUCUUUAGUUUGUA
rnacentral:lncRNA from 1 species